rnacentral:rRNA from 1 species
GAUGAAUGCUGGCGGCGUGCCUAAUACAUGCAAGUCGAGCGGUAAGGCCCUUCGGGUACACGAGCGGCGGACGGCUGAGUAACGCGUGGGAACAUGCCCCAAAGUGAGGGAUAACGCACCGAAAGGUGUGCUAAUACCGCAUAUGGUCUUCGGAUUAAAGGAUUUAUCCGCUUUGGGAGUGGCCCGCGUACGAUUAGAUUGUUGGUGAGGUAACGGCUCACCAAGUCGACGAUCGUUAACUGGUCUGAGAGGAUGAUCAGUCAGACUGGAACUGAGACACGGUCCAGACUCCUACGGGAGGCAGCAGUAAGGAAUCUUCCACAAUGGGCGAAAGCCUGAUGGAGCAACGCCGCGUGCAGGAUGAAGGCCCUCGGGUCGUAAACUGCUUUUAUGAGUGAAGAAUAUGACGGUAACUCAUGAAUAAGCACCGGCUAACUACGUGCCAGCAGCCGCGGUAAU